rnacentral:rRNA from 1 species
CGGCAACAGCUCAAAUUUGAAAUCUGGCUCUUUCAGGGUCCGAGUUGUAAUUUGUAGAAGAUGCUUCGGGUGUGGCUCCGGUCUAAGUUCCUUGGAACAGAACGUCAUAGAGGGUGAGAAUCCCGUCUAGAACCGAUAGCCACGUUCAUGUGAAACUCCUUCGAC